ACUCAGUAUGAACCAUUUCUUAUUGGUUGUUUCCAAACAUACAUGUGAUCUUACAUUGACCACUACCAAUGGCCAAGAUGAGCUUGUUUGCUUUCUUUUGUCUGGCAUGACCAGUUUUAAAGUUUGCAGUCUCAUUGUUUGUUCUGUACAUGAAUCUUUCCCUCCUGGGUGUGAGACAUGAUAAUCUGGUAACUUUCUUCAGAUUGUCCAUAAUCUAUCCCGUGCUUUAGAUGUCGAUGCGAGCUUGGCACGAUUGGAGGAAAGGUCACGCCACGUGCUGAUCAAUGAUGAGAGUGUUUGUGAUUCUUGUCAUGCUCGGCUUGGAACCAAAUUAUUUGCAAUGUACCAGAUGACACAAUUGUCUGCUAUAAGUGUUUUCGUCGUCAAGGUGAAUCCACCUCUGUCACAGGUCGUAAUUUCAAGGAAGAUGUUUUAUAUAAACCAGGCUGGUUGGUAACACGGUGACCAUGGAAAAGCAGAUGAUCUUCUAUGUCUUGAGCUGGCUGCAUGGCAUGAUCAAGAACUCCGGUUGCAUAUGCAAUUGCCAAAGAGGCCACCUAAUGGGUCAAAUGUUGUUUCAUUCCAUAUUGCAGUUAGGUAAUUUUUGGCACAAUGCCCUCUGGCCUUUCAAAGGAGAAUACUGCUUUCUUUGGAGUAGCAUGCUCCCUGUUGAUAGGACGUAAUUUAUUUACUUGGGUUGAAGAAGACUCCAGAGCGUAAGGGCAAAAUCUUACCGAGACUUGUUUGUGUAGCAGGACUCCAGAAGAGGGCUCUAGUAUUCUUUGGUUAAAUCUGAACAGAAAGGUGGAAGUGUAGGUAACUCUUGUGGCGGCUAAAGUUUUGUCUGAUUGUAAUGUAUCAAAUUCUUGUAACCAUAUUAAUAGGUGUUCAGAAUGGAAAUUUUAUAUAGAUGGCAUUCUUUUCUCCUUCAA